CCCUUAGAUGUUCUGGGCCGCACGCGCGCUACACUGUUCGACGCAGCGAGUCUUAACCUUGACCGAAAGGUUUGGGUAAUCUUCAGCAAAGUCGAACGUGCUGGGGAUCGAUCAUUGCAAUUAUUGAUCGUGAACGAGGAAUUCCUAGUAAGUGCAAGUCAUCAGCUUGCGCUGAUUACGUCCCUGCCCUUUGUACACACCGCCCGUCGCUACUACCGAUUGAAUGGUUUAGUGAGAUCUCUGGAUUGACGCUGGCUAGGGGGCGACCCUUGGCCAGGCUGUCGAGAAACUGCUCAAACUUGAUCAUUUAGAGGAAGUAAAAGUCGUAACA
rnacentral:rRNA from 1 species